ensembl:lncRNA
UCUCUUUGUUUAUUGGAUUAACAUUUUCUAAAAUAGCAAGAAACCAAAAAUAUAAAAAAUAAUAAAAACGAUAAGACUCUUUCUCUCUGCACCUUGUACAUGACUUUUUCAUGACAGUAUCUCACAAUGUUUUGUUAUAAGUCGAAGGUAAAAUGAAUAAGUACAUGUUUCAGUCUUGCCAGCUGUUCUGUAGCAGCUCCUUGAGAUGGAGGGAUCCCUUUGAGUUACAACCAAAUCAUCUUAAAAUUAUAGCAGUGGGAGUUUUGACUCACCUUUUCAUAUCUUCCACUACUCAAAUGUCCAGCCUCUGCAUUUUGAAUGCCCCAUCAUCCAGACUACUGGAGGACAGUGUGGCGACUCCCUGUGAGUUCUGUGACGGGGCCCUUGAGGAGAACAUUGAAAUUCGUCAUCAGAAAAAUGGCAAGGAGCAUCCUUUGGUUGUGGUGAUUGUAACAGCUACUAAAAGGAGUCUCUUUAAGAUGGGGCCGAGUAAUGCAUGUAGGUGCAUAACUGCUGUGCAGUAG